rnacentral:rRNA from 1 species
UACGUAGGGUGCAAGCGUUGUCCGGAAUUAUUGGGCGUAAAGAGCUCGUAGGCGGUCUGUUACGUCGGCUGUGAAAACCUGGGGCUCAACCCCGGGCCUGCAGCCGAUACGGGCAGACUAGAGUUCGGCAGGGGAGACUGGAAUUCCUGGUGUAGCGGUGAAAUGCGCAGAUAUCAGGAGGAAUACCGGUGGCGAAGGCGGCCCCCUGGACAAAGACUGACGCUCAGGUGCGAAAGCGUGGGGAGCAAACAGG